rnacentral:rRNA from 1 species
CACGUGGACAUCUAACCUAAGGUGGGGGAUAACCCCGGGAAACUGGGGAUAAUACCCCAUAGACUAUGGGUGCUGGAAUGCUCUGUAGUUGAAAGGUCCGCCGCCAUAGGAUGAGUCUGCGGCCGAUUAGGUUGUUGUUGGGGUAACGGCCCAACAAGCCUGUAAUCGGUACGGGUUGUGGGAGCAAGAGCCCGGAGAUGGAUUCUGAGACACGAAUCCAGGCCCUACGGGGCGCAGCAGGCGCGAAAACUUUACAAUGCGGGAAACCGUGAUAAGGGAACUCCGAGUGCCCGUAAAAUCGGGCUGUCCACCAGUGCAAAUAACUGGUGAAGAAAGGGCCGGGCAAGACCGGUGCCAGCCGCCGCGGUAAUACCGGCGGCUCGAGUGGUGGCCACUAUUACUGGGCUUAAAGCGUUCGUAGCUGGUCUGUUAAGUCUCUGGGGAAAUCUACUGGCUUAACCAAUAGGCAUCUCAGGGAUACUGGCAGACUAGGGACCGGGAGAGGUGAGGGGUACUCCAGGGGUAGGAGUGAAAUCCUGUAAUCCUUGGGGGACCACCUGUG